rnacentral:rRNA from 1 species
GAUGAACGCUGACAGAAUGCUUAACACAUGCAAGUCGAUUCAAGUUACCUUCGGGUAAUGAGGAUGGCGGACGGGUGAGUAACGCGUAAGGAACUUGCCUCUUGGUCUGGGACAACUGUUGGAAACGACAGCUAAUACCGGAUAUUAUGAGAUUCUCGCAUGGGAAACUUAUGAAAGCUAUAUGCGCCAAGAGAGAGCCUUGCGUUCCAUUAGCUAGUUGGUGGGGUAACGGCCCACCAAGGCGACGAUGGAUAGCCGGCCUGAGAGGGUGAACGGCCACAAGGGGACUGAGACACGGCCCUUACUCCUACGGGAGGCAGCAGUGGGGAAUAUUGGACAAUGGGCCACAAGCCUGAUCCAGCAAUUCUGUGUGCACGAUGAAGGUCUUCGGAUUGUAAAGUGCUUUCAGUUGGGAAGAAGAAAGUGACGGUACCAACAGAAGAAGCGACGGCUAAAUACGUGCCAGCAGCCGCGGUAAUACGUAUGUCGCAAGCGUUAUCCGGAUUUAUUGGGCGUAAAGCGCGUCUAGGCGGAAAAAUAAGUCUGAUGUUAAAAUGCGGGGCUCAACUCCGUAUUGCGUUGGAAACUGUUUUUCUAGAGUACUGGAGANGUGGGCGGAACUACAAGUGUAGAGGUGAAAUUCGUAGAUAUUUGUAGGAAUGCCNAUGGAGAAGUCAGCUCACUGG